GUGAGUCAUCGAAUCUUUGAACGCACAUUGCACCCUCUGGUAUUCUGGGGGGUAUGCCUGUUCGAGCGUCAUUACAACCCUCAAGCCUUGCUUGGUAUUGGGCGUCACCAACGUAGCGUGGUGCUCCCUAAAAUCAGUGGCGGUGCCAUCUGGCCUCAAGCGCAGUAUACUUCUCGCUUUGGAGGUUAGGGUGUGCGCCUGCCAGCAAUCACCAAUUUCAAAAGGUUGACCUCGGAUCAGGUAGGGAUACCCGCUGAACUUAAGCAUAUCAAUAAGCGGAGGA
rnacentral:misc_RNA from 1 species